AUUGAACGCUGGCGGCAGGCCUAACACAUGCAAGUCGAACGGGUGGCGGACGGGCGAGUAAUGUCUGGGAAACUGCCCGAUGGAGGGGGAUGAGUAGUGGAAACGGUAGCUAAUACCGCAUAACAUCGGAUGUGGCCAGAUGGGAGGAGCUAGUAGGUGGGGUAACGGCGCACCGAGGCGACGAUCCCUAGCUGGUCUGAGAGGAUGACCAGCCACACUGGAACUGAGACACGGUCCAGACUCCUACGGGAGGCAGCAGUGGGGAAUCUUGCACAAUGGGCGAAAGCCUGAUGCAGCCAUGCCGCGUGUAUGAAGAAGGCUUUCGGGUUGUAAAGUACUUUCAGUGGGGAGGCGUUACUCACCGAAGAAGCACCGGCUAACUCCGUGCCAGCAGCCGCGGUAAUAC
rnacentral:rRNA from 1 species